GGUCAGCAGAGCGCGCGGACAUGGCGGUGCACACAUAUAUCUGAUGUAUUUUCAGUCAGCUCUUAUAUCGAACAGUGACUUGAUGUGAAGAUGUUUGAUUCCUGCGUGGAUCAUGGACGAGUUUGUCUUCCUCCAUGCGCGCACACACUGUCUCUGCUGUGCGUAAAGCUGUGACUUUGAGAGGCUGCAAAGUUUCCACACCAGGGCGGCUGCUCAGAGGAAUAAAGAUCCUCACCAUCUGAAGUCUCCAGAGUCCUGCUGCUCCAGGCUGAUUAAGGAUCCAUCAGCUGACAGCUGAACAGCAAAGAGAAGAGCUGAAGCAUCUCACCUCUUCUGGAUUUAAUCCCUGACAUGUUGAAAAAAUAAACUACUAUUUAUCAUACACAGUAAAUAUUGUGACAUUACUUGAUUGCACUUUUUUAUACUUGAAUGCACAGAAUAUCUGAAACUUUAUAGGACAACAUCAAAGAAGAAAAGAAUA